rnacentral:rRNA from 1 species
GACGAACGCUGGCGGCGUGCUUAACACAUGCAAGUCGAACGGAAAGGCCCUGCUUUUGUGGGGUGCUCGAGUGGCGAACGGGUGAGUAACACGUGAGUAACCUGCCCUUGACUUUGGGAUAACUUCAGGAAAAUGGGGCUAAUACCGGCUAGGAGCUCCUGCUGCAUGGUGGGGUUCGGAACUCUUCGGCGGUUGGGGAUGGACUCGCGGGUUAUCAGCUUGUUGGUGGGGUAGUGGCUUACCAAGGCUUUGACGGGUAGCCGGCCUGAGCGGGUGACCGGGCACAUGGGGACUGAGAGAGGGCCCAGACGCCUACGGGAGGCAGCAGUGGGGAAUAUUGCACAAUGGGCCGAAGCCUAAGGCAGCAACGCCGCGUGCGGAAUGACGGCCUUCGGGUUGUGAACCGCUUUCGCCUGUGACGAAGCGUGAGUGACGGUAAUGGGUAAAUAAGCACCGGCUAACUACGUG